AGGGCUGUCAGAGCAGGCUCUCUCUCGUCAUGACUCACAGUCCUCGUCUCUCUUAUUUUCUCUGUACAACGAUCGACUUGAUCUGCGUGGGAGCGCCAGAGCCCCAAAUCGGCCCUUCCCCUCCUCGCCUUAUUCUCUACCUCUCUUAACCGUUAUCCAUCAUAGCGGGCGUAUACACAACGCAUUACAGCAUCGAAAGACUCUAGCGAAGGCGCACCAAACGACAGAAAGCGAACAAGUUGGGAUAAUGGACGCACCGCAGCGUCUUGUUGGUGGCCCCCUCCUCAAGGCGGUCUAUGUCUUUUUCCUGCUGCUGUUCAGCCUCUUUGCGACCGGUGCGUACAACUGGGCGUUCAAGGUAUACCGAACGCAGCCGCAGAAUAUCAACCCCGUCAUGUACCCGCUCUUCACCGAAAUCAAUGUCUCUGCUUUUGCACCGGCGAUGCGGGAGAAGUACUACCGACUCUGGCGCACCUACGACUGGAUGGCGGACGGCUACGCAGCCCCGCGCGUGGACGGGGUCUACGCUCGAGUUCCUAUCUUUUACGUGCAUGGCAACGGCGGCUCCUACUACUGCGCGCGUUCCCUGGCUCGCUUUGUGUAUGAAUCCAACGCGCGGCUGCGGCAGCACGCGAUGCGUGAGUACCGCCGCCACGUGAAGCGGCAGCUGUUCCAGGAAUUCCGCGCCAACCAAUCGCUUGAGGAGCUGGAGGAAGGAGUGCGCAUUCCAGAGUGGCUGCAGCACCGUGUGGAGGAGAAGAUAAUGCGAGAGGAGGUAACGUUGCUUGGCGCGGAGCUGUUUGCUGUGGACUUCUUGGAAGAGUCGUCCACACAGUCGGCGUCCAUCACCUUAAAGGAGGCGCGCUUCGUGAAUCAUUCUGUUCACCUCGUCAUGAGCGGAUUCCUACACACCUACGCUGACGUCCUCGCCGCGCCACCAGCGCCGGCCUUCGACAGUGACACGCUUGACAAGAAGGACACCCGUCGCACCAGCAGCACAGCCAAGCUCUCCGCGGCCACUGGGAAGCUGCUGAAUGAAGUCGAGAGGGAGUACUCGCAAAGCGUGUGCAGCCAUUCUUCUAUCGCCGCGGACGAGAAGGUGUGCCAGCAGGCGAAGCACCUGACGAAGCGGUUCUCGACUCUGGAGCGGGUGCGGGCGGAGGUGCAGCGGGUGCAGCAGCAGGGCAUCUGGAUCUGGGCUGAGUCACUCGGAGGCGUGACAACUCUCUUGGCCGCCAUCCUGGCCCCGCAUCUCUACGCAGGUGUGGUCAUGGUGGGGACACCGAUGCACUACCCGCCGCUGUUCUUCGACCACGCCAGCGUCUGGAUCUACGAAAUCCUCAACGCAGCGGUGCUAAUGCGCUAUCCAGCCCCAGAAGACGUGCAGCGAGUGCGUCACAGUACCAUCAACUGGGCGGACAUGGUGGCCGACACAAAGCGUCCGAACGAUCUCCUGCAUGACCUCCGCGCCGUGCCGCCUGCCGAGCUUAAUCAUCGUCUGCGCAACCUCACGCUUCUCAGCAUCAACGGCGGCACUUUGGACGAUGUGGUUCCCUCCAUUUCCGGUUACUUGCAGCGCUCCCGACCGCGCGCGCCCGGCACACUGGUCAACCGAAGCUUCCUCCUGCAGGACGGCGGGCAUCGCCGCGACAUCUCCACUGAGACGCUCCGCGGCUGCGGCACCGCCAUGGACCACCGCGGUCUCGUGUACGGUCUUCAGUUCCUGCAACACUCUGCCGACUCGCUGGUGCAGGCAGCGCUGCUGCCGAACGCCAAUGCAUAUUUCGGCCAUGAGGAGAGGCUUCCGUCACUGCACCGCGAUCGGCUGUUCCCCACCGUCGUCGAGACACUGGGCGCGCACCGCUUUGAAGAGCAGCGGCUCGAGCACAUCUUCAUGUCGUCCGUGCGCGAUUCGCUCACCGGCAAGUACGUGAAGGAGACGAAGUUUCGCGCGCUGUCGGAGCAGCUGAAGCAGGUGUGCGUGGACAGCGACGUACCGAUCGACUACAAUGAUCUGCCCAUGUACGACGAGGCGGACUCGAGGAGCGGUUACUACGACGGCACGAAGGUGCUGAACGUGCUUAUAGGUGUGACGACACUCUCGCCCGAGCAGGUGUUUGCGCCGAACAUUCAACUGUUCUACGACCAGGCACGCGAAACACCAACUCUCGACUCGGAGGUGCAUGAACACGCAGCAACGUUGUUACACCUGCCGAUGAUGUACAAGGGCACCAAGCCGAUACCCGGGCGAACACUGAAGACGGCCGUCAGCUUUGCCAUCUACCGACGGAUGAAGAAGCGCCGCCAUCAGACGUGGCUCUGGCCACGCUUCUGCAUGCUAGUGGGCAUCGACCAGGGCCAGGGAGCAACACGCGCGUAUCUCCAGUAUGACAAGAUUGACCUCUCCGCCUUCGCUGAUUCCUCCAGCGAUCACUUGCUGCCGCGGUUGCUUCGUAGCUUCGGUGGUGGGGUGCAGGUGCACACGCAGCCUGGCUACGCGCUGGUGCGCGGCGUGGAUAGCGCCUUGCUGGAGCCGCAGCUGCAGGUGCGCACCGAUGACGCGGCCGAGGUGUUUCCGCUUGUUAUGUGCGGCUCACUGCACUCCUUUUACCUUGCCCUGCGCGGUCACGGCUCACUUCCAGCUGAUGAGCCGGAGCACCAACUGCAGUAUUUCUACGGCCCGUUUCACGAGAACUUGCACCACUUCACCUACCGCUGGAAGCCGUUCAGCACCUACCCGCCUAUGCUCAAUGAGACCUAUCUUAUUUACACUCUCACGGACAACCACGGCGCUCGCCCAGACGUGCGUCUCCCUACGUACACCAUGCUGCAGAACAGCUCAGUUGUCUCGCCAGAGUACUGGGUGUGGCUACUGGUGCUCUGGCCGCAGCGGUGGCUGGCGGCCUUUUCCAUGUAUACUGGCAUCGUUCGCCUCGCUGGCGCAUCCGUGGUGCUCUUCUUCACCCUCUUUUUUUCGCUGGGCAUGCUGGAUGAGAAGAUGUGCGCGGCCGAGUCGCUGAAGGCGGCUCUGUGGCGGCGCUCACCCUUUCGGCGCAUUCGCGUGCUACCUCCAUUGGCGGGCAUGGUGGUGAUGGCGUUUGUGAUGGAAGUUGUUACAGGUCUGUGGGCAUCAACGGCACUGGUAGUGUGCCUCUCCACCGACCCACCGCCGUACGUGACGGAUGCUGAGAUGACGGCACGCAUGAGCAUCUGGGAAAAGUUCACCCUGGUGGCGUUGUACGGUAUCUCGCCGAGCUACCGCGCCUGCCGCUUCUCCUGGAUCUCGAUGCAAGGUGUACCAGUGUGGUCUGUGUUCGUGGAGCAAAUGGCUACCGUCUACCUCGGCUUUGGCAUGGCGAGCGUCUUCCUCAUGCUGGUCUUUGGCUAUCUGGCCGUGAUCGGUGCUGUUACGUGCCCGCUUCGCCGGCUCGUGCUGCUCCCGCUCCUCCGCUGUUCACCGCUGUUGCUGGCGCUGCUCCUUGGGGUGGGGUGGGCAACGCCAACGGUUCUGCUGCUGACGUGCCCGUCCUUUCCACUGUGCUUUGUAGACGUGGUCGGCCCUAGUCUGUUGGCGAUACCGCUGUGGAUGCUGCCUCGCUGGACCCGUUCCGGGUACAACUACCGCCUUGUGCUCCUCUUCGUUUGCUUGGCCUGCAUCUUCCCGUCGCACUUCAACGGGCUUGUUCUGACGAUACGCAACACUAUCAUGAUGCGCAAGAGCCCUGCCGCUGUAGGGGACGCGGAGCGCUAUACCCCUAGCCGGCCGCAGCUCAUCAUAUUCGGCGUUGUGCAAGCAGGCUUAGCCUGCGGCUACGCAUCGCUGUUUUGCAUCCUGCGCAAUGAGGAGACCCUCCGGAUAGCGCACAAGAAAAAGCAGAAGAGCGAUGACACGUCUGCACCCACGUUGCUGUCAGAGGUGGGCAACGGCUACGUGCUGGGCGACUUGGGCCGUCGCGCACCGCGCUUGCGCUCAUUCGUCGAGGUGCUGAACACCGCUUUUAUUUUCGCCAGUGUCUGGGCCUCGGUCGUCGCCAUGCGGCGCCCCAUCGAGGGCGGUGUCUCCCUUCUCGGGAACAUGACACUGCUGGGGUACCUGAGCACGCGCCUCCUCAGGGAGCUGUAGCCCCUACUCCUGCGUCCCUUCGGUGACAAGCGUGAGGAAGAGGCAAAAGAGAAUGCAGCGGCGAGACUACGGGCCCCAUCGGUGCUCAACCGAGGCCAUUGCUGUUUCUUGGAUGUUGGUGGUGGUGGUGGAAGGGGGAGGGGCCACUCGGUGCUCAUUCAUACCAUUUCUUUUUGCGGUACUUCUCAUGCUCCCCUGGCCCCUUCCCUCCUUCCACUUGCCACAGCACGCUUUCCCCUUGCUCGCAUGUAAUGCCACAAGGCAGCGCCUGUGGCUGCAUGCCUUAGGGCCGAGUGCUUCACUUAUGGGCCUACUCUUCCCUUACCUUACGUAGCACAUUCACUUCUUCCCCUCCCCCUUCCCCCUCCGUCGCCCUUUCGUCGUCGUCUUUGGCUGUAAG
rnacentral:misc_RNA from 1 species